AAACGAUAAAAGAUUUUAACAAACUGUUUUCACCAAAUUGUUCGUCUACUCUUUAGAAUGAUUUAGUUAAUUUUGACUGGAGUGAUCGAAAGACAUCUUAUGGGAGUUAUUUCCCUUUGAAAAUUUAAGAUAGGCGAUAUGUUAAAUAAAUUCAUAUGGUAUAAGUCGUAGAGGCCUACAGUCUUUUCAUAUGAAGUCCUUGGUCCAUUUGAAGGAAAU
rnacentral:lncRNA from 1 species